rnacentral:lncRNA from 1 species
UUUCACUGGAUGAUCAUCUUCAAUAAAUCCAUAAUUAAAACUCUAAUAAAAUAUUAGCGUUUUCAACAGCUUCAAGGCAAAGGAGGGUGCCCUGAGGGGGAAGAAGAGACAGAUAGAAAAGAAGCAACCAGUCCCCGUUCCUGCCCUUCUCUCCCAAAGCAGUCUGUUUCUGAGGAAGGGAAGGUUAAUGAGAACGAUCAGCCAGCUUUCAUCAGCGGGGAGGGGAGAAUGUGUAAUACAGAUGUGCAGAGCUGCCCUUCCCUCGCAAAAAAAUAUGUGAGCUAUCGGAGGGAGCCAACGAUUUCCCAAGGAGGCUAAUGAUUGAAAGUAGCCUUAUCCACUGAGACAGCCCAGCAAAGGAAACAAUGCCAUGCAGCAAGCCUUUAUGUGUGAGACACCUGUUCUGUGCCAGGCAUUGUUCCAGGUGAUGGGGUUCAAAGGCAGAAUCAAAAUGAAACAAUCUCUGCCCUCAAGGACCUUACAUUCUAUUGACUUCU